GAUGAACGCUAGCGGCAGGCUUAAUACAUGCAAGUCGAGGGGUAGCAAGAUUGUAGCAAUACAAUUGUUGACGACCGGCAAACGGGUGCGGAACACGUACACAACCUUCCUACAAGUGGGGAAUAGCCCAGAGAAAUUUGGAUUAAUACCCCGUAACAUAGCGAUGUGGCAUCACAUUGCUAUUAUAGCUUCGGCGCUUGUUGAUGGGUGUGCGGCUGAUUAGAUAGUUGGCGGGGUAACGGCCCACCAAGUCUACGAUCAGUAGCUGAUGUGAGAGCAUGAUCAGCAACACGGGCACUGAGACACGGGCCCGACUCCUACGGGAGGCAGCAGUAAGGAAUAUUGGACAAUGGACGCAGGUCUGAUCCAGCCAUGCCGCGUGAAGGAUUAAGGUCCUCUGGAUUGUAAACUUCUUUUAUAAGGGACGAAAAAAGGUCUUUCUAGAUCGUCUGACGGUACCUUAUGAAUAAGCACCGGCUAACUCCGUGCCAGCCGCCGCGGUAAGAC
rnacentral:rRNA from 1 species